rnacentral:ncRNA from 1 species
CAUAGGUAGUGGGUUUGGGAAUUAUUGGAGCCACGAAAGCGAAUCUUCAUAAGGUAAUUGUCAUUGCUUAUGGACCCGAACAUAAGUGAUCUAUCUAUGAACAAGAUAAAGCCUGAAUGAAACUAAGUGGAGGUCUGAAUCAACAUACGUUGAAGGAUCAACAACUGAGUUGUGGUCGAUGGUGAAAUGUCACUUGAACUAAGAGCUAGCUUG